AUUGAACGCUGGCGGCAGGCCUAACACAUGCAAGUCGAGCGAGUGGCGGACGGGUGAGUAAUGUCUGGGAAACUGCCUGAUGGAGGGGGAUAACUACUGGAAACGGUAGCUAUUACCGCAUACCAUCGGAUGUGCCCAGAUGGGAUUAGCUGGUAGGUGGGGUAAAGGCUCACCUAGGCGACUAUCCCUAGCUGGUCUGAGAGGAUGACCAGCCACACUGGAACUGAGACACGGUCCAGACUCCUACGGGAGGCAGCAGUGGGGAAUAUUGCACAAUGGGCGCAAGCCUGAUGCAGCCAUGCCGCGUGUGUGAAGAAGGCCUUCGGGUUGUAAAGUACUUUCAGCGAGGAGGCGUUACUCGCAGAAGAAGCACCGGCUAACUCCGUGCCAGCAGCCGCGGUAAUAC
rnacentral:rRNA from 1 species